rnacentral:rRNA from 1 species
CAAUAGCGUAUAUUAAAGUUGUUGCGGUUAAAAAGCUCGUAGUUGGAUUUCUGCUGAGGACGAUCGGUCCGCCCUCUGGGUGAGUAUCUGGCUCGGCCUUGGCAUCUUCUUGGAGAACGUUACUGCACUUGACUGUGUGGUGCGGUAUCCAGGACUUUUACUUUGAGGAAAUUAGAGUGUUUCAAGCAGGCGCACGCCUUGAAUACAUUAGCAUGGAAUAAUAAGAUAGGACCUUGGUUCUAUUUUGUUGGUUUCUAGAGCUGAGGUAAUGAUUAAUAGGGAUAGUUGGGGGCAUUCGUAUUUAACGGUCAGAGGUGAAAUUCUUGGAUUUGUUAAAGACGGACUACUGCGAAAGCAUUUGCCAAGGAUGUUUUCAUUGA